CCUGAUGGCUCAGAUGGUAAAGCAUCUGCCUGCAAUGCAGGGGACCGGGGUUCGAUUCCUGGGUCAGGA
rnacentral:tRNA from 1 species